rnacentral:rRNA from 1 species
GAGCUCGUAGGUGGUUGGUCACGUCUGCUGUGGAAACGCAACGCUUAACGUUGCGCGUGCAGUGGGUACGGGCUGACUAGAGUGCAGUAGGGGAGUCUGGAAUUCCUGGUGUAGCGGUGAAAUGCGCAGAUAUCAGGAGGAACACCGGUGGCGAAGGCGGGACUCUGGGCUGUAACUGACACUGAGGAGCGAAAGCAUGGGGAGCGAACAGGAUUAGAUACCCUGGUAGUCCAUGCCGUAAACGUUGGGCACUAGGUGUGGGGGGCAUUCCACGUUCUUCGCGCCGUAGCUAACGCAUUAAGUGCCCCGCCUGGGGAGUACGGUCGCAAGGCUAAAACUCAAAGGAAUUGACGGGGGCCCGCACAAGCGGCGGAGCAUGCGGAUUAAUUCGAUGCAACGCGAAGAACCUUACCAAGGCUUGACAUACACUGAACCGGUCUGGAAAACGGUCUUCCCCUUUUGGGGUUGGUGUACAGGUGGUGCAUGGUUGUCGUCAGCUCGUGUCGUGAGAUGUUGGGUUAAGUCCCGCAACGAGCGCAACCCUCGUUCUAUGUUGCCAGCACGUGAUGGUGGGAACUCAUAGGAGACUGCCGGGGUCAACUCGGAGGAAGGUGGGGAUGACGUCAAAUCAUCAUGCCCUUUAUGUCUUGGGCUUCACGCAUGCUACAAUGGCUGGUACAGAGAGAGGCGAACCCGUGAGGGCAAGCGAAUCCCUUAAAGCCAGUCUCAGUUCGGAUCGUAGUCUGCAAUUCGACUACGUGAAGUCGGAGUCGCUAGUAAUCGCAGAUCAGCAACGCUGCGGUGAAUACGUUCCCGGGCCUUGUACACACCGCCCGUCAAGUCACGAAAGUC